rnacentral:tRNA from 1 species
GCGCCCAUAGCUUAAUUGUUAAAGCCGCAGUCUCUAAAACUGUCAUUUUGCAGGUUCGAAUCCUGCUGGGCGUGCCA